AAGACUAUAGACCUGCGGAGUACCUGCGGAGGGAUCAUUAACGAAUAACUAUGGUGUUGGUUGUCGCUGGCUCCUUGGAGCAUUGUGCACGCCCGCCAUUUUUAUCUUUCCACCUGUGCACUUAGUGUAGAUCUGGAUACCACUCGCUUUCCCAAGCGGACUCAGAGAUUGCUGUGUCGCAAGACCCGGCUCUCUUUGAAUUUCCAGGUCUAUGUCUUUUUUACACACCCCAAUUGAAUG
rnacentral:misc_RNA from 1 species